ensembl:lncRNA
GGGACCUUUAUGAUGGAAAAGGGUUGCCUCCUGCUCAGCCUGCAGUGAGACAACUCCUGCCUGCCGUGCCUGCUUGCAUGAAGAAGGAUGAUUUUGGAGGAGAUGGGGUGGCAGCUGUACUCGGCACUCAGCACUCUGGGAUGAUAUUUGUGUGGUGAAUGAUCUUAUUCUGCGCUCUUUCCGCAGGGCGGUUCGAGGCUGUGGCCACAUGAUGGGCUUGGCUGUGUCAGGUGAGAGAGCUUUAUGGCUAAACCUGUCAGGCUUGGGUGACACGCAUAAGUCGGAGGUAAUAGAUGCUGCAUACGAUCCUACAAAGGGGAUGUUUGGCCCAGCCUUUGAGAAAAUGAGGGCUUCACAGCAGCUGCCGCAGCAAGAGGGAGACCGGUAGGCGCUAGGGCUCAAAGACCUGCUCACAGCGGGCAGCAAGCUGGCCAGUGCUUACGACCGGAUGGAUCUGGGCCUUGGGGAAAGCAUUCUUUUGUGGCCAUGAGGAGAGGAAGAAGUGUGCGACCUGACAUGCAGGUAUUACCCGUCCCUUCUCUCUCCGCCCGCAAGGAGGAGAGGGUGGUAAUACAGCCCUCUUGUUUUGAGUUCAGUAAGGGCCCAUUCGGUAAGCUCUCCUUAAAGUCAUAGAGACGAGUGAGCUCAGAGUCAUGUUCAACAGUUUCACCAAGCACUCACAGUGUUUUCAAACACUUUUCAGUUUGGGGGAAUUGAAAAUAAAGAAUGCAUCAUCACAUCCAAGCCAGGGGCAGAUGGCGAUAUGCUCCCCGAGUUCAGAAAACACAUUAAUAAAUGUUGCACUACAGCAGCCAGGCAAGCAGCCAAAGGCAAUAUGUUCCAGAGACACAAAAUUCAAAUAUAUAUUAUAUAUAUUUACUUCUAACUUUACUUUUCAUUGUUUAUUUUUCCAAAUACAAAACCAGGUGAGUGUCAGAGUGAGAACUGAAAAGUUGUGUUAAUGUGUUUGCUGCUUUGCUGAAUAUCUUAAAUAAACUUACUAAUGUAAAUGUACCACAGACCUGGGCCCAAGCUAAAAGACUGUAUGAAGCAGCACGAGAAUGAUGACAGCAUCCUAAACCGUGUCAUGAAGGCCAAGUUUGAGCUGCUUGACAAACUCUGCAGAGUCUGCAAAGUUGCUUCACCAACAUGACCAUAGGGAUUCUCCAAGCUACAAAGUUAGUUAAUCUAAUCAAG